rnacentral:rRNA from 1 species
CUACGGGAGGCAGCAGUGGGGAAUAUUGCACAAUGGGCGCAAGCCUGAUGCAGCAACGCCGCGUGCGGGAUGACGGCCUUCGGGUUGUAAACCGCUUUUAGUAGGGAAGAAGCCUUCGGGUGACGGUACCUGCAGAAAAAGGACCGGCUAACUACGUGCCAGCAGCCGCGGUAAUACGUAGGGUCCGAGCGUUGUCCGGAAUUAUUGGGCGUAAAGAGCUCGUAGGCGGUUUGUCGCGUCUGCUGUGAAAACUAGAGGCUCAACCUCUAGCCUGCAGUGGGUACGGGCAGACUUGAGUGGUGUAGGGGAGACUGGAAUUCCUGGUGUAGCGGUGGAAUGCUGCAGAUAUCAGGAGGAACACCGAUGGCGAAGGCAGGUCUCUGGGCACUUACUGACGCUGAGGAGCGAAAAGCGUGGGGAGCGAACAGGAUUAGAUACCCUGGUAGUCCACGCCGUAAACGUUGGGCGCUAGAUGUGGGACCUUUCCACGGUUUCCGUGUCGUAGCUAACGCAUUAAGCGCCCCGCCUGGGGAGUACGGCCGCAAGGCUAAAACUCAAAGGAAUUGACGGGGGCCCGCACAAGCGGCGGAGCAUGCGGAUUAAUUCGAUGCAACGCGAAGAACCUUACCAAGGCUUGACAUACACGAGAACGGGCCAGAAAUGGUCAACUCUUUGGACAC